UAGUGGUGGCCAGCCUUGGAAAUCUCUAUCCACAGAACAAGUCCAACAGUGGUUGUCAUCCCCUCAUUGCCUUCCAGUGUACCUCAACCCUGCCCUGGAGGGCUCCCUUCUAAUGAUGAGGGGAUAGUUCAAUCUGAGUGACAUGCUGUCGACUGAGAUU
rnacentral:sRNA from 1 species